rnacentral:rRNA from 1 species
AGGGAGACAGGUGGUGCAUGGUUGUCGUCAGCUCGUGUCGUGAGAUGUUGGGUUAAGUCCCGCAACGAGCGCAACCCCUACGUUUAGUUGCUAACGCGUGAAGGCGAGCACUCUAGACGAACUGCCGUUGACAAACGGAGGAAGUGGGGAUGACGUCAAAUCAUCAUGCCCCUUAUGUUCUGGGCUACACACGUGCUACAAUGGCCGGUACAGACGGACGCAAAGCCGCGAGGUGGAGCAAAUCCUAAAAGCCGGUCUCAGUUCGGAUUGCAGGCUGCAAUUCGCCUGCAUGAAGUCGGAAUCGCUAGUAAUCGCAGGUCAGCAUACUGCGGUGAAUACGUUCCCGGGCCUU